rnacentral:rRNA from 1 species
UUAAGCGACUAAGCGUACACGGUGGAUGCCCUGGCAGUCAGAGGCGAUGAAGGACGUGCUAAUCUGCGAUAAGCGUCGGUAAGGUGAUAUGAACCGUUAUAACCGGCGAUUUCCGAAUGGGGAAACCCAGUGUGAUUCGUCACACUAUCAUUAACUGAAUCCAUAGGUUAAUGAGGCGAACCGGGGGAACUGAAACAUCUAAGUACCCCGAGGAAAAGAAAUCAACCGAGAUUCCCCCAGUAGCGGCGAGCGAACGGGGAGCAGCCCAGAGCCUGAAUCAGUGUGUGUGUUAGUGGAAGCGUCUGGAAAGGCGCGCGAUACAGGGUGACAGCCCCGUACACAAAAAUGCACAUACUGUGAGCUCGAUGAGUAGGGCGGGACACGUGGUAUCCUGUCUGAAUAUGGGGGGACCAUCCUCCAAGGCUAAAUACUCCUGACUGACCGAUAGUGAACCAGUACCGUGAGGGAAAGGCGAAAAGAACCCCGGCGAGGGGAGUGAAAAAGAACCUGAAACCGUGUACGUACAAGCAGUGGGAGCCUCUUUAUGGGGUGACUGCGUACCUUUUGUAUAAUGGGUCAGCGACUUAUAUUCUGUAGCAAGGUUAACCGAAUAGGGGAGCCGAAGGGAAACCGAGUCUUAACUGGGCGUUAAGUUGCAGGGUAUAGACCCGAAACCCGGUGAUCUAGCCAUGGGCAGGUUGAAGGUUGGGUAACACUAACUGGAGGACCGAACCGACUAAUGUUGAAAAAUUAGCGGAUGACUUGUGGCUGGGGGUGAAAGGCCAAUCAAACCGGGAGAUAGCUGGUUCUCCCCGAAAGCUAUUUAGGUAGCGCCUCGUGAAUUCAUCUCCGGGGGUAGAGCACUGUUUCGGCAAGGGGGUCAUCCCGACUUACCAACCCGAUGCAAACUGCGAAUACCGGAGAAUGUUAUCACGGGAGACACACGGCGGGUGCUAACGUCCGUCGUGAAGAGGGAAACAACCCAGACCGCCAGCUAAGGUCCCAAAGUCAUGGUUAAGUGGGAAACGAUGUGGGAAGGCCCAGACAGCCAGGAUGUUGGCUUAGAAGCAGCCAUCAUUUAAAGAAAGCGUAAUAGCUCACUGGUCGAGUCGGCCUGCGCGGAAGAUGUAACGGGGCUAAACCAUGCACCGAAGCUGCGGCAGCGACACUAUGUGUUGUUGGGUAGGGGAGCGUUCUGUAAGCCUGUGAAGGUGUGCUGUGAGGUAUGCUGGAGGUAUCAGAAGUGCGAAUGCUGACAUAAGUAACGAUAAAGCGGGUGAAAAGCCCGCUCGCCGGAAGACCAAGGGUUCCUGUCCAACGUUAAUCGGGGCAGGGUGAGUCGACCCCUAAGGCGAGGCCGAAAGGCGUAGUCGAUGGGAAACAGGUUAAUAUUCCUGUACUUGGUGUUACUGCGAAGGGGGGACGGAGAAGGCUAUGUUGGCCGGGCGACGGUUGUCCCGGUUUAAGCGUGUAGGCUGGUUUUCCAGGCAAAUCCGGAAAAUCAAGGCUGAGGCGUGAUGACGAGGCACUACGGUGCUGAAGCAACAAAUGCCCUGCUUCCAGGAAAAGCCUCUAAGCAUCAGGUAACAUCAAAUCGUACCCCAAACCGACACAGGUGGUCAGGUAGAGAAUACCAAGGCGCUUGAGAGAACUCGGGUGAAGGAACUAGGCAAAAUGGUGCCGUAACUUCGGGAGAAGGCACGCUGAUAUGUAGGUGAAGUCCCUCGCGGAUGGAGCUGAAAUCAGUCGAAGAUACCAGCUGGCUGCAACUGUUUAUUAAAAACACAGCACUGUGCAAACACGAAAGUGGACGUAUACGGUGUGACGCCUGCCCGGUGCCGGAAGGUUAAUUGAUGGGGUUAGCGGUAACGCGAAGCUCUUGAUCGAAGCCCCGGUAAACGGCGGCCGUAACUAUAACGGUCCUAAGGUAGCGAAAUUCCUUGUCGGGUAAGUUCCGACCUGCACGAAUGGCGUAAUGAUGGCCAGGCUGUCUCCACCCGAGACUCAGUGAAAUUGAACUCGCUGUGAAGAUGCAGUGUACCCGCGGCAAGACGGAAAGACCCGUGAACCUUUACUAUAGCUUGACACUGAACAUUGAGCCUUGAUGUGUAGGAUAGGUGGGAGGCUUUGAAGUGUGGACGCCAGUCUGCAUGGAGCCGACCUUGAAAUACCACCCUUUAAUGUUUGAUGUUCUAACGUUGACCCGUAAUCCGGGUUGCGGACAGUGUCUGGUGGGUAGUUUGACUGGGGCGGUCUCCUCCUAAAGAGUAACGGAGGAGCACGAAGGUUGGCUAAUCCUGGUCGGACAUCAGGAGGUUAGUGCAAUGGCAUAAGCCAGCUUGACUGCGAGCGUGACGGCGCGAGCAGGUGCGAAAGCAGGUCAUAGUGAUCCGGUGGUUCUGAAUGGAAGGGCCAUCGCUCAACGGAUAAAAGGUACUCCGGGGAUAACAGGCUGAUACCGCCCAAGAGUUCAUAUCGACGGCGGUGUUUGGCACCUCGAUGUCGGCUCAUCACAUCCUGGGGCUGAAGUAGGUCCCAAGGGUAUGGCUGUUCGCCAUUUAAAGUGGUACGCGAGCUGGGUUUAGAACGUCGUGAGACAGUUCGGUCCCUAUCUGCCGUGGGCGCUGGAGAACUGAGGGGGGCUGCUCCUAGUACGAGAGGACCGGAGUGGACGCAUCACUGGUGUUCGGGUUGUCAUGCCAAUGGCACUGCCCGGUAGCUAAAUGCGGAAGAGAUAAGUGCUGAAAGCAUCUAAGCACGAAACUUGCCCCGAGAUGAGUUCUCCCUGACUCCUUGAGAGUCCUGAAGGAACGUUGAAGACGACGACGUUGAUAGGCCGGGUGUGUAAGCGCAGCGAUGCGUUGAGCUAACCGGUACUAAUGAACCGUGAGGCUUAACCUU